GUGUGUGUGUGCUGGAUGAUGGGUGUGUGAGUGCUGGAUGAUGGGUGUGUGAGUGCUGGAUGAUGGGUGUGUGUGUGCUGGAUGAUGGGUGUGUGUGUGCUGGAUGAUGGGUGUGUGAGUGCUGGAUGAUGGGUGUGUGAGUGCUGGAUUGUGGGUGUGUGAGUGCUGGAUGAUGGGUGUGUGAGUGCUGGAUUGUGUGUGUGUGUGCUGGAUGAUGGGUGUGUGAGUGCUGGAUGAUGGGUGUGUGAGUGCUGGAUGAUGUGAGUGUGUGUGCUGGAUGAUGUGUGUGUGUGUGCUGGAUGAUAGGUGUGUGUGUGCUGGAUGAUGGGUGUGUGAGUGCUGGAUGAUGGGUGUGUGUGUGCUGGAUGAUGGGUGUGUGUGUGUGUGCUGGAUGAUGGGUGUGUGUGUGUGUGCUGGAUGAUGGGUGUGUGAGUGCUGGAUGAUGGGUGUGUGUGUGCUGGAUGAUGGGUGUGUGAGUGCUGGAU